AGGGGAUAUGGCGGAAUUGGUAGACGCUACGGACUUGAUCGAAUUGAGCCUUGGUAUGGAAACCUACCAAGUGAUAGCUUCCAAAUCCAGGGAACCCUGGGAUAUUUUGAAUGGGUAAUCCUGAGCCAAAUCCGGUUCAUGAAGACAAUGUUUCUUCUCCUAAGAUAGGAAGGGGAUAGGUGCAGAGACUCAAUGGAAGCUAUUCUAACGAAUGAAUCUCAUUUGGUCCAAUACUGUAGUUACUGUAGUUAUAGAACGAUCUAUUUACACCUCAAAAAUGGAGAGAGAUGUUAUAUAACAUCAGACAAAACUGGCGAUCAGAACUCGUUCCAAGCAUUUUAUUCAUAAGAUAGAUGCCAGAUUCGAGUUGAAGUACUGAUUUGACAUUAAGUAAUCCAAUUAUGAACUUAUCUACUCUAGAUGAAUAAUUUAAUUAUUUUUUGGAAUAAAUGGUUGGACGAGGAUAAAGAUAGAGUCCAAUUCUACAUGUCAAUGUAAACAACAAUGCAAAUUGCAGUAGGAGGAAAAUCCGUUGGCUUUAUAGACCGUG
rnacentral:ncRNA from 12 species